AGGACUGAGCCAGCCAAUUUAAAAGCUCAGCUGGAAGUAUUAUCUGCUGGCUCUUCUGCUUUCUGUGAAAAUGUGAGAGUGGAUUACUCAUCCCAUAAAAUCUGACUUGUGAUAGAUGCUGUCUUCUGACCACAUGCUCUCUGUUCUUCGUGGUCUGCUCUGUGUAUGCCCAUGCUAUCUCCUCUGCAAUUUUGGACAUACAGGAAGUUUCCUUACCUUUCUACCUUGCCUGCUUUAUCUUCCUGAAGCCACGUUUAUUAGUAAAAGUCCAUGAAGCCAUGGUGAGACACCAUGUCUCACUGUCAAACUUGUAUAGGAUUCCUGUGAGUCCCUGGGGUCCUGGGUCAGAUGGCCAGUGUUGAAAUUCCACAUCAUUU